rnacentral:rRNA from 1 species
AUUGAACGCUGGCGGCAUGCCUUACACAUGCAAGUCGAACGGCAGCAUGAUCUAGCUUGCUAGAUUGAUGGCGAGUGGCGAACGGGUGAGUAAUACAUCGGAACGUGCCCUGUAGUGGGGGAUAACUAGUCGAAAGAUUAGCUAAUACCGCAUACGACCUGAGGGUGAACGUGGGGGACCGCAAGGCCUCAUGCUAUAGGAGCGGCCGAUGUCUGAUUAGCUAGUUGGUGAGGUAAAGGCCCACCAAGGCGACGAUCAGUAGCUGGUCUGAGGGGACGAUCAGCAACACUGGGACUGAGACACGGCCCAGACUCCUACGGGAGGCAGCAGUGGGGAAUUUUGGACAAUGGGCGAAAGCCUGAUCCAGCAAUGCCGCGUGUGUGAAGAAGGCCUUCGGGUUGUAAAGCACUUUUGUCCGGAAAGAAAUGGCUCUGGUUAAUACCUGGGGUCGAUGACGGUACCGGAAGAAUAAGGACCGGCUAACUACGUGCCAGCCGCCGCCGUAA